UAACCAGGCACUAAGUGGCUGGUUUAAUUUUCAACUCAUUUUUAAAUAUAUAAUAUUUUUUUAAAUAUAUAAUAUGUAUCGUUUCACAAUUUUCCCAUUGCCAUCUGAUGUAUGUAUAUUUCAUUAGGGUGGUGGCGGCAAGUGUACGUGAACAAAUCAAACAUACCAAACCGAUAACAGAGUGCAUUAUGGGAAUAUGUGUUUUUCUUAGAAUGUGGAAAAACCUACAAAUCUUGGCUAGUGAGGCCUAUUUAACCUUCAGUGGCACUUUAUGAGGUAAGCCUGCUGGUGGAAACAGCAGAGAAAUGAACAGACCAGAAACGCUGGAUCAACAGUUUGAGGCUCCUGUUUAUUCUCUAUAAAACAGCACUUCUCAAGUUAAAGCCACCAUAUACCUGCAAGAGAUGACUGCAUUAGCUGGGGCUGCAGCGUUGCAUGCAUUUGCUCGCCUUUGAAACAAGCUGUGUACAAAAAGCACCAAAGAGGAGGGGAAGUGCAAUAAUAACUGCUUUUUUUAAAAAACAAUUUAAACAGUUCCCUCCUCUCGUGGAAAGAGACAGAAAUGGAAAGUGCAAAAUGAUGGUCAAAAAUCACAAAUAUUCAAUAUCAUAUUCAAUUUGGGAAUUUUUGGCCCUUUACUAUGUGGAUUUGUAUCAUUAAGAGUAAUAUGGAAUCACUGUGAGAAUAAAGCAUCAUUGUACAGCUUUUUGGUUUUUUUGGUUUUUUUUUAGUAUUAGUUAUUAAAGUGCAUACUGCUGCAUAGUUACAGGAGCCAUCUUCACGUUAUCAUGCACGUUACAUAUUUAGAGAUGUAGGGCAUAGCUACAAAUAAUCAUCGUCCUUUAAUCCACUACCUGAUUUACUCUGAGCUGGCCGGAGCAGUGCCUGCUUGGCCCCACAAAAACAAACUAAAAUACAAUAAAUCCACUGAGUGGUCCAGCUUUUUAUUCCUCAGUAUAACUUGUUGAUUUGCUAAAGAUUAAAUGGUUAACUGGCUGCAUGCAAACAAGGAUGUAAGAAUCAAGUUAGCCCAUAUUGAUUAUUUUUCUUUCGCAGUAAAAGUCUGUCAUUUGAAACGGUAGUUUUGAGCUGAACCGGGAGGCAGAUAAAUCCAAGUUUUACCUCACACAACUUAACAAAUGUUUAAAUUGUUUUUUUUUUAAUAGAACAAAUUAAUGCGAAGCAGUUUAAAUAUCCACUUUAGUUACAGCUAUUUUAAAAGUGGGGCUUUUGAAUAGGGUGGGGUGUCACCAUGUUAUCUUUCUGCUGACAGUAUAGACCAUUACCCAUCACUUAAAACAUCACAAGAUCAUUUGAGGGGAAAGCAUAACUAACAAUGCCAUAUGUUACAUGAUUAUAAUCUCCAAGUCCAAGUGUUGCAGCCCUCUGAAAAAUGAAACACUUGUACAAAAAUUCAGGAUAACAGCUGUGCUACAAUUUUCUGCUCAUUUCUCCUGUUUUUUUUGUUCUAUGCAAACAUUUUGCUUGUCAUUAGUUUCACGUAUGUCUUAAAUUAAUUUACUAGCAUGUUUAAAU